rnacentral:lncRNA from 1 species
CAGUAGAGGGGCCUGGGAGACUGUUCUGCGCCCUUUGGCCGUGGCUCUGGGCGAAGUAGAGCCAUGGGAGAGCGUAGGCGAAGAACACCAUCUGAUGAUGCAUUAUCAUCCUGCAGGAACAGCGGGUGGACGCAGGAUAGCGGAAGGCUGGUCCCGGUGUGAGUGCAAGUGGGCGUGGCAAGAGUGCCCAGAGUCCAGACGUGCCCUGGAGCCAGUAGGCUUUCCUGGCAGGGGCAGAGCGCCAGGACAGGCUGAGACGUGGAAGAGGCCCAUCAGCGGAGCGGGGUCCACUUGGGCACGAGGAGUCUGAGGUCCCAGGGACGGCUGGAGUUUGGAGAGGAGUGUCCUCUCUGGAGUCAUUUGCAUGUUGAUUCUUUGCAGCAGAGUGAGGUGGGAGAGCUCACUCAGGGAGUGAGGGCAACAGGAACCAGCGAGGAAGGGGCCAAGGCAGAGCCUUCAGGGCCGUGAACUUGGGAGGAGUGUGCUCAGACAAGGAGCGUGAGAAGCAGCAGUGGGGUCUGUGCUCCUGGGGGCCAGUGAGGGACGCGCAUGUGUGCAGAGGGCGUGACCCGCUGUUUCGGGCGACCCUGAAACCUAAGAGAGGCUAAGAAUUGCCCGCGGGUUCAGCUGCCUGGAAGUCCUUGGCGAAUGGAUGAGCAGCACAGACCCCACUUUGCAGGAGUUUUGGUGCAAACGAGGCGGAAGAAAUGGGGCCAUAGUUGGUGCGAGGAAAGAAAAAGCUCCCCCCCCCCCCGAGAAAAAUAGCAGUGUGUUUGUAAAUCAGUGCAUGUGAUCCAAUGGGAGCGUUCUAGAAAAGUGAUGCAGGACAGAAAGGGGGGCAGGCUGCAGGGAUGGCUUCAGGUAGGCAGAGGGCACGGGGCUGGCACGCAGGCGGAGGGUGGGUGCUGGUGGAGGGAGCCGCCCACGUCCCCGACCUCUUCGCGCUCCUCCGUGAAGUGGGAAGUGAGGCAGCGUCUGCUGAGUGGAAGUGGAGGCGGAGGCGGCCUGUGAUUUGAGGGAAGAGGAAGUGCGACUGUGUCCCCGGGACGCGGGGGAGGGGAGGAGGGGCUCGGACCGGGCUCGGCAAACCAGUGGAGAGUUUGAUAGGACGCGGACUGCUAGGCUAGUGUCUGAUUAGCAGGGCUGGGGUGGGGUCUGGGGAUUCAUUUUCUGAUGCGUGCCAGGCUGGACCUGGCCGCCCUGGGCCCCCCACCCUGGAGGAAAGCUCCUGUCUUCCUCCCCCUGGAUCCUCUGCUCCCAGACGGCCAGUCUAGACCUGCAGAGACCACUCAGGGGGAGGGCCGUCUUCCGGCCAUGCUUGGCUUCCCUUUCGGUUUAUCUGAACUGCUUUUCCCGUUGCUUGGCUUUCGUUUUUAUCUUUGCUACUAGAGGGUCCGCUAGUUACGUGCUGUAGAAGCCGAUUGGACGUUCUGGUCCGUGUGGUGAGAGCGGGCUGGACCUUCCAGCGGGGGAGGGGCUGAGAUCAGUGCCUGCAGGUGGCAGGAGGGACCCUGUGCGGAAGAAAGCUGGGCAGCCGCCUUCCCUGGACGGCCCUGCAACCUUCCACUGAGUCUCGUGUCCUCUGGGCCAGAGCCCAGAGCACUUUCCAGGAAAGAAGCUCCAGUUUGGUGCUGGGAAGGGGAGGAGGCUGUGAUGCCACCGGGCAGAUGGGGAGGCGUCUCCUGUCUGAGGGAUGUGGGUGCUGCCAUCCCACAGCCGUGGACGGGCUCUAGGUCCCUGCAGGCUGAGGACCCCCCUGCCGAGCCACCAUCCCCCAUUCUUCUGCUCUGGGCUUCCUCAGCCUGUGGCUGCUUCCUCCCCUUGGCUUCCUGCUCUCUGGGCAUCACUGUGGCAGGAGGGGCCCACGUGCUCCGCCUGCAACUCCUCUUGCUCCGGCCCUCCAGCCGGGUUUGAAGGGCCAGGCACUGCCCGAUGUUUUUGCUCCCACAAAGGACGCAUAAUUGUCCUGGACUCUUCUUCUUUUUUAUUUGUUUAUUUAUUUAUUUUGGUCUUUUUAGGGCCACACCCAUGUCAUAUGGAGGGUCCCAGGCUAGGGGUUGAAUCGGAGCUGUAGCUGCUGGCCUCCACCACAGCCACAGCAAUGCCAGAUCCCAGCCAUAUCUGUGACCUACACCGCAGCUCACGGCCAUGCCAGAUCCUUAACCCACUGAGCGAGGCCAAGGAUCAAACCCCCGUCCUCAUGGAUACCAGCGGGGUUCGUUAUCACUGAGCCACAGUGGGCGCUCCCGGGGAACUCCUCUUGAGCUGUAGUCAGCUCCCUCUGCUAUUGUAAUCAUUGCGUCCUGAGCACAACUGGAACAUCCCGUUACUGGCGGGUCCGCUGCGCUGUCACACAUCGAAACAAGGCCUGGUGGGGGGUGGCUGCUGUUCCCAGAACAGAAACACUCUAAGGCUUUCUCACAUGGAAUUAUCUCACUAAUAGUUCUGCUUUCGUCCCUGUGGAAAGCCGUUUAUUUUAGUCAAGUAGAAAAAUGCAUAAAUGAAAAGUGUUGAGUUUGUAAAGCACCCCAUUUGCCCAGAAAUUUCACCAUCACAGGUAGUUGCCAUCUCCCGAAGAUCAGACCUCGAAGAUCAGCAAGGGAAGUGCGAGGUGGCUGGAGGAAGAGGGGACAGGGACAGGGACAUGUGCCCGCAUCCGAAUCCAGGGGGACACGGGGGACUGCAACGAGAGGGCUCCCUGAAGCCAGCCUCUGGGUCCCGAUCUGGGCUCUGUCACUGUCACUCCCCGUAGGGCUGUGGGGAGGAUUAAAUAGCUGGAGGGAUCCCAGUAACACACCCAGCACAGUGCGAACAUUCAUUCAGUAACUGUCACUUCUGCUAUGAAACUAGGGCUUCAGUAACUGAAAUCGGAUCACUUUCUGGGGGAAGAAGUCUGCGAUAAUGGAACCGGUUGCUUCGGUGCUGGCCCCACCUAAGAGGGCAGUGGGCAACCCCAGCUGCCAGGGCCGGGGUGGGGGUGGUUCUCACCAGGUCUUUCCAUCCCAGCGGCACUUCCCUCUUUGUUCUGGGAACCCCAGGUCCUUCCUUCCGGGAGGCACUUGCCCCUCCCACUUCAGCACGCACACGCCCAGUGUAUUUUAUUAAUGUUUUAUUCGUAACUUUAAGUGGAAUAUAAUCUAAAAAAUACUGAAUCACUGUUGUACACUCUAAUAUAAAUCAACCAUAAAAUAAAU